CCCACUUGGCUAGCAAGCUCAGGCAAGAUCCAGCCAAAAACAGUAUAGGCACAACAAGUUUCAACAAAAAUAUUUGUUGCAAGAACACUCUUUGAUUCAUUUGCUCUUCCUUGGCUGAACCUCGACUACACCCAUCCUGAUGCACAUUUGUGGAGUGCCGUUGCCGUGUCAGAGGAUCCAAGUUCAAUUUCUGCAUACCCUAGUGAUUUCUUCUGGCUUUGAACACUAUCCAGGUGGCUGCACAAGGGGCUACAGAAAUUACAGGGAGAUGGCAGAGUUGGUGAGAGUACUUGCCUGAGAAGCAAAGAAAGGGGAAAUACCCACAUUCUACCAGCCCGUCCCCAUCCAAUCUGCCCACAAUAUGCUGUUGUAAAGAGUUUGCAGUGAAGCUGGGGAUUUGGCACUAACAUGGUGUGGAAUAGUCAUCAGAUAUUUAAAACAGAGCUGAGAAAACAAAGAAGGGCUUUGUAAUGCAAGGCAGCACUGAAAACCCUGAACUUCUGCCAGCCAGCUUGCACGGAGUGUUUGCUAAUGUACACAGUGGAGUGCAUUCCUCGCAUUUGAUUACAUGACAGUUUUAUAUACCAGGUAUAUGCAGAGGGUUUUUCUUAACUCUUUAAGUCCUCCAUCGUUUAUAAAUCCUAAAGGGGCUCACAGUGGUUCCACUUCUGCUGUCUUGCACAUGUAUGCAACUUCAGGCACGGAAGGCUGAGCAUGUGCUGCUGUGUGCAACUGCUUGUCAAUCUUUUUGACUUGAGUAGCAUCACCCUGUGAAGUGGCAGAACUCCAGAGUCAUCUAAUGAACCUCUGAAAUCCACCACUGCUUAACAGGGGGCCAAGAUUUCAAGACCUUAAAGGAGUCCCAUUGGAAUCACUAAUAGCAUCUUCAGCAACUGCAACACUAUCGUGGUGACACAUAUCCACAGCGGCUCUUGGCAGGUUCAGACAAGAAACAGGAAGAUUUGUAUCACUUUGUUGCUGCAUAUGUUACUGUGAGAUCCAAGUCCUUGCUGGGUCAGAAAUAACAUGGUGUAUUAAGGGUUUAAGAUUAAUUAUGAAGAUUUAAACUUCUGUUUUGACCGUAAGCCGUGAAUGGAAAUGGGCUACAGAAAAAAUAAGUUUGAUGAUUCUGGAUCAUGGAGUAAUAGAACUUCUUAAUCACGGAAAAAAAAUAUCAUUUAGGUGACAGAUGUGCUUUUAGCAUCCUUGUCAAGUAAGUCACAUCCUAACACAUUACCUUGCUUUGGGAAUCUGACAAAAAAUGACAAUAUUAGGUAAUUUAUAUUAGAGAGUCUUCGCAGGGGUCUGUGUAUUCCAUUCAUGUUGACAACUUUUACAUUAAAAGGCCAGGAAUAAUCUGCUCCAUUAAAGAAUGGAAUGAAAUAACUCUCUUCUGGUUGGUUAGCAGUCCCUUUUUCUUCUUUCUGAUGUAGCCCAGAUCUUAAUGUAAACUGACUGCUAGGUGAGAACUUUGGUGUCCAUUACCAAUACCUGAGAACUUCCUCAUGUUUUCAUCUCUGUAUAGCUAAUACAAACAUUUUUCUUCCACUGGGGAUAAAAAGCAGUAAAUACAAAAGGAAUGUCCAAACCAAUCCCCAGCUUUCAGAAAACUACACAACAUGCAGAUGACCUCCUAUUCUCACAUAUAUUUCUCUAGAUUAUAGACGAGGAGAGAUUUCAUAUGUAGGGAUGUAACUUUAACAUCAAAUACAUUCCAACUUCCUUAUCUAAUCUGACGAGCCAUUUAACAGUUUAUCUAUCAGAUCAAGUCUUUGAAUCAGUUUUGUGCCAUGGGAGUAAAAGAUGCCUAAUAUUUAAAUAAUCAUCUUUUUUGACAAAGGUGAA